rnacentral:rRNA from 1 species
GGUAUGAAAGGGUUAACGAAGAAGGUGCUGUGUCUAAAAAUUCAAUUUAAACUAACUUUAAGGUGAAGAGGCCUUUAUGUAAAAGAAGGACGACAAGACCCUAUGAAGCUUUAUCUUAAUUGGAGCUCUCAGGCUCUUAUACGAUUUUGAUGGGAGAUCAGUAGAAAGAAGUCUUCUACUAUCAUAUUAAUCUUACUAGUAUUUCCUAACUUUAUAUGUGUGGCUAGCUACUCUAGGGAUAACAGCGCAAUUUCUCCCGAAAGAUGGAAUUGGAGGGGAAGAUUGCGACCUCGAUGUUGGCUUUAGAUAUCCUAGAGGCGUAGAAGCUUCU